rnacentral:rRNA from 1 species
AUUGAACGCUGGCGGAAUGCUUUACACAUGCAAGUCGAACGGCAGCACGGGGCAACCUGGUGGCGAGUGGCGAACGGGUGAGUAAUACAUCGGAACGUGCCCAAUCGUGGGGGAUAACGUAGCGAAAGCUACGCUAAUACCGCAUACGAUCUACGGAUGAAAGCGGGGGAUCGCAAGACCUCGCGCGAAUGGAGCGGCCGAUGGCAGAUUAGGUAGUUGGUGGGGUAAAGGCUCACCAAGCCUGCGAUCUGUAGCUGGUCUGAGAGGACGACCAGCCACACUGGAACUGAGACACGGUCCAGACUCCUACGGGAGGCAGCAGUGGGGAAUUUUGGACAAUGGGCGCAAGCCUGAUCCAGCCAUUCCGCGUGCAGGAUGAAGGCCCUCGGGUUGUAAACUGCUUUUGUACGGACGAAAAGGCUUUCUCUAAUACAGGGGGCUCAUGACGGUACCGUAAGAAUAAGCACCGGCUAACUACGUGCCAGCAGCCGCGGUAA